rnacentral:rRNA from 1 species
AUACGUAGGGAGCGAGCGUUGUCCGGAAUUACUGGGCGUAAAGGGCGCGUAGGCGGGUGUUUAAGUCAGAUGUGAAAACUAUGGGCUCAACCCAUAGACUGCAUUUGAAACUGGACAUCUUGAGGGCAGGAGAGGAAAGUGGAAUUCCUAGUGUAGCGGUGAAAUGCGUAGAUAUUAGGAGGAACACCAGUGGCGAAGGCGACUUUCUGGACUGUACCUGACGCUGAGGCGCGAAAGCGUGGGGAGC